rnacentral:misc_RNA from 1 species
UCUCCGUAGGUGAACCUGCGGAGGGAUCAUUACCGAGUGAGGGUGCCCACGCGCCCGACCUCCCAACCCUUUGUUCAACGUACGUGUUGCCUCGGGGGGCGACCCGGCUCCGGCCGGCGGCCCCCCGGCGGACCACUUCAAAACACUGCAUCUCUGCGUCGGAGUAUUGAAGCAAAUCAAUCAAAACUUUCAACAACGGAUCUCUUGGUUCUG